rnacentral:misc_RNA from 1 species
GCAGAAGGAUCAUUAGUGAAAAUUUGGGGACGCCAUAACGAACCCAAAAACUGUCCUUGGCCCCCUACACCUAUUAUUCCUCCCCCCUGUGCUGUGCACUGUCUUGGAUAAUCGCUUCAAAGAAAUUUUUUGUGGCCUAUCGUGCGGUCUUUCUUCGCUACAACCUCCAAAGGAUACUAUGAAUUUGAAACUUGAUUGGACCGUUCCUGGCCAACAAACUAUACACAACUUUCGACAAAUGAUCUCUUGGUUCUCCCA